rnacentral:misc_RNA from 1 species
GAAAUGCGAUAAGUAAUGUGAAUUGCAGAAUUCAGUGAAUCAUCGAAUCUUUGAACGCACAUUGCGCCCGCUAGUAUUCUGGCGGGCAUGCCUGUUCGAGCGUCAUUUCAACCAUCAGGCCCUGUUUAGGUCUGUGUUGGGGGCCUGCGCCUGCCGCAGCCCCCUAAAUGCAGUGGCGGGCUCGCUGUUACCCCGAGCGCAGUAGUGUAUCUCGCUCUGGGCGUGGCAGCGGGUGCUAGCCGUGAAACACUCACUAAGGUUGACCUCGGAUCAGGUAGGAAUACCCGCUGAACUUAA